GUUUGUUGUUGUUUUUUGAAGUACUUGAUGUACAGAAGCCUGUUUUCGACAUAGUUGGAGGUUUGAAAGCAUGUCGAGGUAAGUACAGACAAGUACAAUGAUUCUGCAAUUAAGGAAGACAUCCUAUAAUAAUUCGUGAACUUUGUUUUAUUUUUACGUGAAUCGUGAUGGAAUUUUUUCAAUUUUUCGUGACUCGUGAAAAGGCAAAAUAUUUUUACGUGAAAGCAU